GAUGUGACUUGUAGUUCACGAGCUGGGAGAAGCUCCUCCCACACUGGUCACAGCAGUAUGGCUUCUCUUUGGUGUGGACCCGUAUGUGUAUCUUGUAUAUACUGAAAUACGUGAAAGUCUUUUCACACUGGACACACUGGUACGGUCCAUUGUGGUCACACAGGUGUUUUCUGUAGGAGCUCUGCUCGCUGAAAUCCUCCCCGCACUGGUCACAGCGGUACGCCGUCUCUUCCGGGGGGUGUGUCGACGCCAGCACGCUCACGCUACCAUGACAACAGUUGAACGUGAACCGUGGGAGGAACAUGGCUGGUGGAGGAAACAUUGCGGUUCAACCAUAUAUGUUUGAACCAGAGUCCGACCCUGAACAAGAGAAAACUACGGAAGAAGUUGUAGUAUGUAGACUGCAACAGGACGUGUCAGAAUGGUCAGUUAUGAGCUCUAUUUGACCGUUUCCUAAAAAUGUGUGUUUGUACGUCGGUGAAAUACGGUCGCUGACUAAAUACGGCGACCGCUGGCCGCAGUCUGAUGUGAAGUGGUGCGAACACACGAACACACGUUUGCUGACUUUAUCCGGCACAUUAGCUUCAUAUAUAAAAUCCUCUGAGGCUGGAAGUUUGUGUAAAACACUGUGCUCCACUGUGCAGCCACCAACAGCACACAGUCCAUCUGCGUUGACAUAAUACCGCUCUUCCUCCCUCGCCGGCACUCUCGCAUUUUAUAGGGACAAGGUGGAGCUAAGGUGGAGCUAAGGUGGAGCUCUCCAAGUAAACUUACUGGUGGGUGGUAACAUUCACGGUGAAAUGCGCAUGCUGCCGUCAUAAGCGCAGGGAAUUCAACAUUGCAUGUUUUAUCGCCUAUACUUACACUAAGGGGGACCACGAAAACAUGACUGAGUAUUCUUUUUCCACACUUUGGCGACUGGUAGGGCCUCCAGAGUCCCAAAUGUAAGUAUUGAAAUGGUUAAAAAGUAGAUUUUGCAUAAUAUGUCCCCUUUAAAAUGAAAAACUGGCAUGAGUUCCUAUUGCUUAUUAUGACUCAUGAUUAACUGACAGUUGGCUGUUAACUUGUUUAAAUAUUGGUUAAGGAUAGUAAUAUGGCCGUUCAGACAUAAGGCUGUGAUUUAGCGCCCUCUGCUGCCACUGAGGAAACAAAAUCAUCCAUAUGCAUCAUUUUCUUUCCAAGUCUUUCUGUACAGUGCUCACCUCUUCAGAAGAAUUCAUUUCAUUUCUUUAUCAGUCAACGUCCUCCACAUCUUCUCCUCAGCAGGUGUGAGCGCUGAAAGGAUUGUUGCUACAACAGUGACGGUGUAAAUACAGACAUCGAGCGGUCAGACUGUCACAUAUCUCAGCGUGGUGCUGCCACACCAGUGAAUUGAAAACUGAAUGUUUAUCAUGUUAGCUGGAGAUGACAGACGAACUGAGGGACGUGGUUCAUUUACAGGAUUUGAACAUGAGUUCUACCUCAAGCUCAGGUCGACAUGAGGAGAGAUUCUGCUGUUAUUAAACAUUGUGGAUGAAAGUAGUCUGAACAGCCAGAGAUGGCGUCAAAUCUCAAUGAUUGGGUUCACAACAUAUGGCAACAGGUCAGGGAUCCACUUCUGCCAAGGACCUAUUCAUCUCAAAUAUACAGUAUGUACUAUACUGUUAGAAAAAGACCUGUAUAUUGUUCUAACAAUAAACCAUUGUAUAUUAUAGAAAGAGACAAAGAUCAGCGACAGCAUUUUAGCCGAGUCAUUAUGUGGACUCUUUAUUUCUGCUUCACGGGACGAGAUGAGAAGUAUUAUUGUCUUUGAAAUUGCUUGAAAUGGGUGUAGGUGGUGGGGUGGUGUUAUCAACAAGUAUCGGACUGAUAGUGGUCGAUAUUCCAGGUUUCCAGGCAAAUAUAUCUCUGUCCUUUCAAACUGUUAAAACUAAGAGCAACUGAUUUUUCCCGCAUUGUCAAUUUUAGCCAUUUUAUAUUAAAAACCGGUUUACAGGUGUACCUAAUAAAGUGGCCAGUGAUUGUACGCGUAGACGCCGAAUCGGCUGCAUCACAAGCUAACGGGGCUAACACGGAUUAGUGCGAGGAGUCUGACUAAAUACGCAACACUUACACGGUCAAGUUAAUUAGAAAAUCGGUUAGUUAGCUAGAUACUAAGUUACUAAAUUGUCCUGGGGCUUUACGUCCAUCAAUACACGCUAAGUAAACAGAAUGGAGCCUCUGCUGGCAGCAGUGUUGCUACGCUAAUGUCGCCAUUUUGUAAAGUGAUGCCACGAUGACGUCAUAGCUGGAGAGAGCUAGUUUUAUUUUAAAUGUGGUUAUUUUAUACGGGAAAUGUUAUAUUAAUGCACGUAAAUGGGUGAAAAGAAGAGCAAUAGUUCAACAGUUAGAAACCUAACAUGUUUUGUUAACAUAAUUGACCAAAAGGUAUCAAGAUUACAAACAAACAACCUCUUUUAAAUGACAUUUAUGACCUACAAUGGCAAUAAUUUUAAUUUGUUCAUGCAGAAGAAAUCUCUAAAAAAAUAAAAAAAUAAAAAGAUAAUAAUAAUAAUAAUAAUAAUAAUAUAUGCAAUAAAUUGCUACAUGCAUGUCAUUAAUUAAUUAUCACCAAUUUCUACUGCAAUAGAGAAUAGAUUGAUAUUUGUAAAACACUCAAAGCUAUUAUAUUUGUUAUCAUCCCAGUUCAGUAGAAGUAAUGGGUGACUACAUCCAGAAGAGGGCAGUAAAGCUAGAUUACCAACUGUUGUAAAACACCAAACAACAUGACAUCAACAUCAACUGAGCUGUUUGCUAUGGAAGAAAAGUGAUGUCACGAGGAUCACUGGGAUGUUCACAGUCUGUCCAGAAACUUCUCAAUUUCACGGCACCUAUAAUUCUUGCCUCUGUCUCUGAUCUUCUCCAGAGCUUUAAUGCUGUUCUGUCGAUAGAACGACUCGAUCGGUAUCUCCGCCGCCUUCAUGUGAUAAUCCAGCGAUCCGUUGAAGUUCUGCCGUUGGAAGUAUAGAAAUUUUGCAUACAUGUUGUAAAGGACCUGCUUGUCUGCAGGUUGCAGGUCCCGUUCAAGCAGCUCCCGGUAUAUGUCCUCAGCUUCACCCAGGCCGCGAGGGGACUGUGCGUACACACUUGCAAGGUCCAAUCUCUUGACAAAGUUAGAAUGCGGGUAAAGAGAAAUCACCUGCUUGUGGAGACUGAUCGCUUUAUCUAUCAUUUGCGGUGUUGGGGGACUGCCCCUUGAAUUGAUCUUCCACUUGUAACAGAGUGCCAGGCAUCUUUUCAGAUAGCGUUUGUCUGGAUGGUUUAGGAGAGCCUCCUCUGCCAAAGCUAUAGCCUUGUCAUAAGAUUUAUCGCUUCUGUAAAUCCGUAGUAUCACUUUGAUUCCACUGUAGCUGCUGACGGGAUUUCCCAAAAUCCUUGUUGCCAACUCACUCACUUCAUCUUUAACAUCUUCUCCUCUGGCACGCUGCCUAAGGCACACUGCAGCAAGUUCCAGGUUCUCUGGAUCCUGUUCCUUGGCAUUCUGCAUUCUCUCCAUGAAGUCUGCCCCUAGUUGGUUCUCAUCGUGCUUAUGAAGACUGGCCAACCCUAUCAGAUGGCUGGUCUGCCACUCCACCAUGUCUGGCUGCAUCCCGAUGGCUUUCUGGAAGUAUUCGCCCGCCAGUACCUUGUGUUCUCUGCUGAACUUCAGCAGAGUCCAGGCUUUUUCAGCAUAGAUCUCCGGGUGCAGCUCGUCCUGUGAUGGAGAUGGGAAUUCUUCCUUCAGAGCAGCAACCUUUGACAGGUAAGCCUGACUCUCUGCUUCCUCACCUUGGCGAUAGUGCAGCCAAGCCAGAUUUCCAUAGUUCACCAGCAGCCAUGGACCCCUGUCUGCGUCUCUUGUUCGGUUUAGAGCUUCUGUAGCCAUGCUGAAGAAACUCCUGGCUUCGUUGGCUUCAUUGGUUCCCAGCUGGAAGUGGAUGUAGCCCUGCAGGUUGUAAAUGUGACCCAGCCAACAGUUUCCCUCAUCAGUUCCAAUGUCCUGCAGCAUCUCCCUGAGGUGUAAAAGUAUGGACUUGUUGUCAUCCAGGUCCCAGGUGAAGUGGCACUGCAGCUUUUUCAGUUUGGCCUCCAGCGUAGUCUCACUCUGUGCGGCGCUGGUGGAGUUUAAUUUAAGACAUUAAAACGUUGUCACUAUGUUGACAGAAUAUUCUCAGUGGCAAUUUUACAUUUAUCUCUUAUUUAUUGGCAGAAAUUAAAUAUACUGUCCAUAUUUCUACGACCCCUGUGUUCAGUUACUGAUUUGAGAGUACUAUAACAAGUGCCAUAACAAUCAAUAUUAAUUGAUUGAUUGUUAUUUGGAUAAUAAAAGUCAUAUGGGUUUUCCUCUAGGCUGCCGUAAUGCACCACAAUAUUUCUGCAGCCUCCCAAACAGACGGCUCGGCCUGAGAUGUGAACUAUGCAAAUGAGGAAGAAUGUCAACCAAUCUUUAAAAAUUGGGGCACCCAAUGGCCGACAUAUGAACGCUUUUCUCUUUUUUCCCCAUCAUGGAAAAUAUAACACAGUUUAAUAAAUGAUAAACAAAACAGCGUUUGGUCUGUCUGCAUUCUGUGUCUGCACCAAGGUUAUAAUAGUUUUAGUUUUCCUCUGUUUUAAUUUGAGUAUUUGCCAAGAUUCAAAAAGAUUCAAAAAGGUCAUAAUAAGUAUUGUUUCAUAAAACCCCAGCAAAAGAUGGCAUUUUAAACAUGAGUUAGGACAGAAGAAUAACCAUCCAAAAAAGUUAUAUCACUAAUAAUGAACAGAAAUAUCUUAACAGGUGGAACUGAUUUAUACCACUAAGUUAUUAUUAGUGACGUAGUAAAGUUAUUAUUCCCCUAUAGGAAAAUAAUGAUUCUGCCCAUAAACACUUUCACAUAAAAACGUUUCUAAACCACACCAUCUCUGAUAUUCUUUAUUAUUAAUAAUGAUAAUAAUAAUAACAAUAAUAAUAAUAACAAUAAUAAUAAUAACAACAACAACAAUAAUAAUAAUAAUAUGAAAUAAUUGCAUGAAUUCACCUCAUCCUGAGCUGUUUCCUGGCCUCUGUGGUCAGCUCGUCUGGUUGUAGUUGGAUUAGACUUGGGAUCACUGUUGUAUCGUCAGCAGCAGUUUGUGCAGCAGUGUUUCGGAUGAGGGCCGGAGACGCUUUUAUGAGGGCGUCUGUAACUUCUGUUUCUCCUGAAACGAAACCUUGACUCAGCAGUUACGCCCUUUAACUUCAGUGAAAUGACAAAUAUGUUUGGAUGGACGCAUUUACGUCAUACACACACAAGAUUGUGUAGCUAUUCUUGACUGCCAGUUAUUUGGAAACCAAAACCUCACCUCUAAUCUCAAAGAUAACCAGGGGGGUAUUCCAUCAACGUAGCUAAGAAUUGCCAGACUUAGGUGUAAGCUUGAAGCUUGACUAAGCUCCAUCUCCCAAUCUAGCUCCAAGUCGUUCCAUCAAGUGAAAUCAGCUGGCUCCACCUGACGCUUAGUCAAGCCUCACCUGUUAAGCCUCAACUUGUGCACGCCCACAGGGAAAAUAAAAAGCCCAUUCUAGUCGAGCGCGGAAACUGUGAAAACUGGAGAAGGGUCUAGCUGCAGACCCGCAGACCACUCAACGAAACACCCCUUUACUCAACGAAACACCCCCUCACACUACACGACACUCUGAUUGGCUCUCAAGAGACUGCGUCUGAAACGUGAUGAAGUUUACGUUGACCGAGUAUGAAGAGAGAACCCGAAAAAGUAACACGGGAAAAACACGGGAAAAUGACGGAGGAAAAGGUAAGAAUUGAUAAAAAACACAUUUAGAUAUUGAACACUGGAUGAAUAGUCAUUAUUUGUAUCCAUUAAAUCAAUUAAGUGUGGUUUAUUAACCAGUAAUGUCUGCAUGCUGUAACGAUAGCGAUUGUAACAGCAAGCAAGACGCAGCGAUUUUCUCCCUUUUUUCUUUUUUUCCUUUUUUUUUUAUUUAUAUGUACAGGUUAUAACAUUGACAAUAUAACAUUCUCUCAUUUGAACCAAGAAAUGUAUAAGAUAAACUAUAUGAUCUCUAUAUAUUAGUAUGUAUCUGUAUCUUUGACUCUGACAAGUUGCACACAGCUUUGCUCAUUUGAAAACGUGUGACCUCAGUUCUACAAUUGUUAAGAUAAAAGAUUUGAUGAUGAAUAAUAUUUUUCAUGUUUAGAAAUUAGGGCCACACGGUGGUGUAGUGGUUAGCACUCUCGCCUUGCAGCGAGAAGACCCGGUUGGAACAAGGGCCUUUCUGGAUGGAGUUUGCAUGUUUUCCCCGUGUGUGCGUGGGUUCUCUCCGGGUUCUCCGGCUUCCUCCCACAGUCCAAAAACAUGCAAUGUGGGGAUAGGUAAAUUGGACACUCUAAAUUGACCAUAGGAGUGAGUGUGAGAGUGAAUGGUUGUUUGUCUCUAUCUGUGUGUGGCCCUGCGAUGGACUGGCGAACUGUCCAGGGUGUACCCAGCCUAUCGCCCAAUGUAGCUGAGAUUGGCACAGCACCCCCCGCGACCCUCUGGUGGAGGAUAAAGCGGUAGGUGAUGACUGAUGAUUAUUUGGAAAUUAGAAGUUCUGUUGAAUCACAGUCAACAGUGUCAUUUGAUUUGAUUUAUUUUAGUUAGCCUGCAUAUAUUUUAGGACAGGGAAAGUCUUACAGGCAAAUGCAGUCCAGUUCAUUACUACUUGAUUCUGGAUUAAAAAUGUUUCCAUGUUAAAAAUACAAAAUACAAUUUUAAUUUACAUUUUCUUUUAUAGAGCAACACUACGUUCAGUAAUGGAGCAGACCCUGAGCUGAGAACAUGCGACUCGGACACUUAUCAGUGUCUGAUCUGCACAAAAAAGGGGAGCUAUGCAAAGCUUGUGUCCCAUCUGCAGGGACACCAAAGGUCAAUGGUGGAGUACGGUGGGCCCAACAAGCCCAACAGAAGCGACGCGAGGCAUGUUGUCUGUUAACCAGUGUAAUCACAGAGGAUCAGGGCAUGCUGCAACACCUUAAAAACAUCAUCACAGGCAACACGGUGUCUCCUUGGGCCAAGAAACAGGACAGGGUCAUCCUUCUUUUUGAAGAUGAUGAGAUGAUGUGGACAAAGUCAUGCACUUCUUGUCUGAAGUACUCGAACGUACUGAGACAGACAAGAAGUCUGCAGAUCCAGUGGCGUUUGUAAUGGAUGUACUUUUGCCAGAGGCAACAGUAUACGCCCUCGGAGCUGUUCACUCCAUCUCCCUGGACAAAGCCAAGGAGAUGUACAUGCGUGGCACAGAGUUUGACUCAAGCGAGAUAACCCAGCUUGGGGAACAGCUUCAGAGCCACAUUUCCUCAAAAGUGAGGCAGAAACUGGAUAGCUUCCUGAGCAAUUACAAGAAAGCCUUGGAGUGUGAGGAAUUCCUCAGGCGCCUGUAAUCCCUGGGUAGUGAAUGUGUCUGCUGGAUAGUCUGUUGUGUAUAACAUAA